CCUAUGGGGUGCANCAGGCGAGAAAACUUUGCAAUGUGCGAAAGCACGACAAGGUUAAUCCGAGUGGUUUUAUGCUAAANGAACCUUUUGUNAGUCUUAGAAACACUAGACUGANNGAAGGGGUGGGCAAG
rnacentral:rRNA from 1 species